rnacentral:rRNA from 1 species
GACGAACGCUGGCGGCGUGCCUAAUACAUGCAAGUAGAACGCUGAAGGAGGAGCUUGCUUCUCCGGAUGAGUUGCGAACGGGUGAGUAACGCGUAGGUAACCUGCCUGGUAGCGGGGGAUAACUAUUGGAAACGAUAGCUAAUACCGCAUAAGAGUAGAUGUUGCAUGACAUUUGCUUAAAAGGUGCAAUUGCAUCACUACCAGAUGGACCUGCGUUGUAUUAGCUAGUUGGUGGGGUAACGGCUUACCAAGGCGACGAUACAUAGCCGACCUGAGAGGGGGAUCGGCCAAACUGGGAAUGAGACCAGGCCCAGACUCCUAAGGGAGGCAGCAGUAGGGAAUCUUCGGCAAUGGAAGGAAGUCUGACCGAGCAACGCCGCGUGAGUGAAGAAGGUUUUCGGAUCGUAAAGCUCUGUUGUAAGAGAAGAACAAGUGUGAGAGUGGAAAGUUCACACUGUGACGGUAUCUUACCAGAAAGGGACGGCUAACUACGUG